CACGAGUUUGAUCCUGGCUCAGGAUGAACGCUAGCGGCAGGCCUAAUACAUGCAAGUCGAGGGGUAGACGAGUGCUUGCACUUGUUGAGACCGGCGAACGGGUGCGUAACACGUAUGCAACCUACCUUUAACUGGGGGAUAGCCCGGAGAAAUCCGGAUUAAUACCCCAUAAUACUAUAGAAAGGCAUCUUUCAUUAGUUAAAGCUCCGGCGGUUAAAGAUGGGCAUGCGGUCCAUUAGCUUGUUGGUGAGGUAACGGCUCACCAAGGCUACGAUGGAUAGGGGGUCUGAGAGGAUGAUCCCCCACACUGGUACUGAGACACGGACCAGACUCCUACGGGAGGCAGCAGUAGGGAAUAUUGGACAAUGGGGGGAACCCUGAUCCAGCAAUGCCGCGUGUGUGAAGAAGGCCUGCGGGUUGUAAAGCACUUUAGUUAGGGAGGAGUGUUUGAAGGUUAAGAGCUAUCAAGCAGGACGUUACCUAAAGAAUAAGCACCGGCUAACUCCGUG
rnacentral:rRNA from 1 species